rnacentral:rRNA from 1 species
AUGAACGCUGGCGGCGUGCCUAACACAUGCAAGUCGAACGGGAAAGGUCGAAAGACUGAGUAGAGUGGCGGACGGGUGAGUAAAAUAUAGGUAUCUGCCCUUUAGAGGAGAAUACCAUCGAGAAAUCGGUGUUAAUACUGCAUAAGCCCAGAGAUGGGGAAAGGUGGCCUCAAAGCUACCGCUAAAGGAUGAGCCUGUAACCUAUUAGCUAGUUGGUGGGGUAAGAGCCUACCAAGGCAAAGAUGGGUAACCGGCCUGAGAGGGUGUACGGUCACACUGGAACUGAGACACGGUCCAGACUCCUACGGGAGGCAGCAGUGGGGGAUAUUGCACAAUGGGCGCAAGCCUGAUGCAGCGACGCCGCGUGGAGGAUGAAGGUUUUCGGAUUGUAAACUCCUGUUACGUGGGAAAAAAUGCCCUGUUUGAAUAAAGCAGGGAGCUGAUGGUACCACGAGAGAAAGCACCGGCAAACUUCGU